GCUUUUUGUCCACAGCUCCCCCAGGGAAAAAAAUGAAAAUCUAACCGCAAGGAGUAAAGAUGUGAUGUCUUUGAUUAAUCCUGUAUCAAAUGAAAAGCAAAAUAUGGCAAGCACAUCAUCAAAGGAAGUUUCCACAAGCUGCACUAGUGUUAGUACGGGUGCACAUUGCUACAGAACAUAUACAGAGGUUUAUGCUCCAAUUCUAGUUGAAAGUGACACUAGUAGCUCAUCAGAAGAUGAAUUUGCUCACAAUGUUGAUUGGUAAGUUUCUGUGGUAACACUUUCUCUUCCAGUCUGAAUAAAUGUAGUUAAUAUGGUAAUUAUUAUUUA